GGCGGACGGGUGAGUAAUAUAUAGGUAAUGUGCCCUAGAGAAGAGGAUAACAGUUGGAAACGACUGCUAAUACUCUAUAUGCCUUUAAGACAAAAGUCUGCAAGGGAAAUAUUUAUAGCUCUAGGAUCGGCCUGUACGGUAUCAGCUAGUUGGUGAGGUAAUGGCUCACCAAGGCAAUGACGCCUAACUGGUUUGAGAGGAUGAUCAGUCACACUGGAACUGAGACACGGUCCAGACUCCUACGGGAGGCAGCAGUGGGGAAUAUUGCACAAUGGGGGAAACCCUGAUGCAGCAACGCCGCGUGGAGGAUGACACAUUUCGGUGCGUAAACUCCUUUUAUAUAGGAAGAUAAUGACGGUACUAUAUGAAUAAGCGCCGGCUAACUCCGUGCCAGCAGCCGCGGUAAUACGGAGGGCGCAAGCGUUACUCGGAAUCACUGGGCGUAAAGAGCGUGUAGGCGGGUUAAUAAGUUUGAAGUGAAAUCCUAUGGCUCAACCAUAGAACUGCUUUGAAAACUGUUAACCUAGAAUAUGGGAGAGGUAGAUGGAAUUUCUGGUGUAGGGGUAAAAUCCGUAGAGAUCAGAAGGAAUACCGAUUGCGAAGGCGAUCUACUGGAACAUUAUUGACGCUGAGACGCGAAAGCGUGGGGAGCAAACAGGAUUAGAUACCCUGGUAGUCCACGCCCUAAACGAUGUACACUAGUUGUUGUGAGGCUAGACCUUGCAGUAAUGCAGUAAACACAUUAAGUGUACCGC
rnacentral:rRNA from 1 species